rnacentral:rRNA from 1 species
GACGAACGCUGGGGGCGUGCCUAAUACAUGCAAGUAGAACGCUGAAGAGAGGAGCUUGCUCUUCUUGGAUGAGUUGCGAACGGGUGAGUAACGCGUAGGUAACCUGCCUUGUAGCGGGGGAUAACUAUUGGAAACGAUAGCUAACACCGCAUAACAAUGGAUGACACAUGUCAUUUAUUUGAAAGGGGCAAUUGCUCCACUACAAGAUGGACCUGCGUUGUAUUAGCUAGUAGGUGAGGUAAUGGCUCACCUAGGCGACGAUACAUAGCCGACCUGAGAGGGUGAUCGGCCACACUGGGACUGAGACACGGCCCAGACUCCUACGGGAGGCAGCAGUAGGGAAUCUUCGGCAAUGGGGGCAACCCUGACCGAGCAACGCCGCGUGAGUGAAGAAGGUUUUCGGAUCGUAAAGCUCUGUUGUAAGUCAAGAACGGGUGUGAGAGUGGAAAGUUCACACUGUGACGGUAGCUUACCAGAAAGGGACGGCUAACUACGUG